rnacentral:lncRNA from 1 species
CUACACCCACUACAUUCUCCCACUAUCUCCAUUAUAUAAUAAUAAAAACACUAUUACACCCACUACUUUCCUCCACUAUCUCAAAUCUAUUAUUAAAAAAUAUGUGGGUCCCACCACUUUACCCACUUUCCAUCUAACUUUACUCAUUUCUUACACUUUUUCUUGGUCUCCGUGUCCGAUCCCAAUGUAUAUAAUUCAUUGGGACGGAGGGAGUA